UGAAGGACAGGGCUGCUGGGACCUAGGUGGGUCUUCUAGGUGCUUCCAACUGGUUUUCCAAUUUUAGAUUUGUGCUGCUAGGUCUCCACAGAUGCCUGUUGUUCUGGGAGCUUUCAUGCAGCCUAGUUAAACCAGACAGGUCUUUCCCCCUGUUGUAAGCUUCUGCCUCGCUGUAGUAAGCGGAACUGCACCCCAAAUAUAGUGUUUCUCUGCUCAGAUUCUGACCAUGCCCACCUGUGAUAUUUUCUGUUCCAGAAUAAUCCUGUGAUAUUGUGCUGAAAAGAGCUAAGGGACACCAAAGGAGUCUCCUGUGAGCAGUGUCCUGGGUGAAGCUGAUGAGAGUAGCAAGCACAUGAUGGCCGAGGAAAGAGGUAUUUCUAACUUGUACAUUUAUCCAAGCCUGAAUGUUAUUUGAGGCUGAAUUGGGACUGGUUCUGAAUGUCUUUUCAGACAAGUGCCAAUCAGAGCAGUCGCUGACUGAAUUUACCUGAGGACAACCUACAAGCACAGAACUCCCCUACUGAUAACUUAAUCUGACUCAUGUAAUAGCAAGACUCCAUCGAUACCGAUGAUAUGAUCAUAGUUUGUGUAAGGAUCAGAAGAUUUAUUGGCUUUAAUAACUUACUAUUAGAUGAUUUUUCACAUCAGUGCUUCCUUGAGUUCAAGUCAAGAAAGUCAUCUCCUAAACUAUACUUGG